AGCUUUGCGCAGUGGCAGUAUCGUAGCCUAUGAGGUCUAUCCGAGGCGCGAUUAUUGCUAGUUGAAAACUUUACCCAAUACCCCGCCUUGACGACUUGAAAUAUAGUCGGCAAUGGCAAUUUUUGACGGUCUCUAAGGAGA
rnacentral:snRNA from 1 species